rnacentral:misc_RNA from 1 species
GUGUCUGGAACAAAGGUGCACACCUAAGAGCAUAAGGCUCCAGGAUUUAAGCCUAGUGAACCUCGAGCCUGAGGCGUGCCUCUUUAAUAACUAUGAAUUAAUAGCUCCAUUAACGUAUAAAGGCUCACCUUCCCAAAGUCCACACAGUUCAUUUUGAUUUAGAGUGAGCCAAGAUAAAAUAAUGCAACAAACCAGCCAAAAGGGAACUCACGCUGAAAAGCAAUCAUCUUUGCCAUAUCCACACAGAACCUCAAAUAUGGCCGUACAGAAAAUCAACAUGAAAAAACGUAUCUUAUUUUGCAAGAUGACCACUUCAUACAGAAGCUAAAUUAG